rnacentral:rRNA from 1 species
AACGCACAGGAUGCACCGUAGUUUACUACACCGUAUUCUGUAAGUUGCGAACGGGUGAGUAACGCGUAGGUAACCUGCCUGGUAGCGGGGGAUAACUAUUGGAAACGAUAGCUAAUACCGCAUAAGAACAUUUACUGCAUGGUAGAUGUUUAAAAGGUGCAAAUGCAUCACUACCAGAUGGACCUGCGUUGUAUUAGCUAGUAGGUGAGGUAACGGCUCACCUAGGCGACGAUACAUAGCCGACCUGAGAGGGUGAUCGGCCACACUGGGACUGAGACACGGCCCAGACUCCUACGGGAGGCAGCAGUAGGGAAUCUUCGGCAAUGGGGGGAACCCUGACCGAGCAACGCCGCGUGAGUGAAGAAGGUUUUCGGAUCGUAAAGCUCUGUUGUUAAGGAAGAACGAGUGUGAGAAUGGAAAGUUCAUAC